GAUGAACGCUGGCGGCGUGCCUAAUACAUGCAAGUCGAGCGAAUGGAUUAAGAGCUUGCUCUUAUGAAGUUAGCGGCGGACGAGUGAGUAACACGUGGGUAACCUGCCCAUAAGACUGGGAUAACUCCGGGAAACCGGGGCUAAUACCGGAUAACAUUUUGAACCGCAUGGUUCGAAAUUGAAAGGCGGCUUCGGCUGUCACUUAUGGAUGGACCCGCGUCGCAUUAGCUAGUUGGUGAGGUAACGGCUCACCAAGGCAACGAUGCGUAGCCGACCUGAGAGGGUGGUCGGCCACACUGGGACUGAGACACGGCCCAGACUCCUACGGGAGGUAGCAGUAGGGAAUCUUCCGCAAUGGACGAAAGUCUGACGGAGCAACGCCGCGUGAGUGAUGAAGGCUUUCGGGUCGUAAAACUCUGUUGUUAGGGAAGAACAAGUGCUAGUUGAAUAAGCUGGCACCUUGACGGUACCUAACCAGAAAGCCACGGCUAACUACGUGCCAGCCGCCGCCGUAA
rnacentral:rRNA from 1 species